rnacentral:rRNA from 1 species
UGUCUUGUAAUUGGAAUGAUGGGAAUUUAAACCUCUUCCAGAGUAUCAAUUGGAGGGCAAGUCUGGUGCCAGCAGCCGCGGUAAUUCCAGCUCCAAUAGCGUAUAUUAAAAUUGUUGCAGUUAAAAAGCUCGUAGUUGAAUUUCUGCUGCAUUGUUUCUUCUCAUGUCGAGUGAUUCAUUGUGGCUUAUUUCGGAUUGUUUUUUACUUUCCGGAUGAUUACUUUGAGAAAAUUAGAGUGCUCAAAGCAGGCUUUUGCCUUGAAUAGUUUAGCAUGGAAUAAUAAAGUAGGACUUUGGUUCUAUUUUGUUGGUUUUAGGUACCAAAGUAAUGGUUAAUAGGAACAGUUGGGGGCAUUCGUAUUUAACUGUCAGAGGUGAAAUUCUUAGAUUUGUUAAAGACGAACUACUGCGAAAGCAUUUGCCAAGGAUGUUUUCAUUAAUCAAGAACGAAAGUUAGGGGAUCGAAGACGAUCAGAUACCGUCGUAGUCCUACCAUAAA